GUGAGAAUGAGGAAGGGAAAAGGGAUGCAGUGUUUGCAGAAGAGACACUGGGACAACCAAGUGGUUGUGGGAUUAUGGAACCAGGCCCUGAGGGAUGAUGUAGAGAGGCCCUACUUCCUCAGUGUAAGAUGGGGCCUGAGGUCCAGAGGGGGAAAGUAAUUUGCCUUUGGCCACGGAGACUUGACCUUGAGCCCUACAGGCAUCUUAGGGGCUUAGACAGAAAAAGGUAGAAGGCCAUGGCUGGAAAGGAUUGAGUGGCUACAAGGUUGGAUGUUCAAGAGAUUUCUUGGGAAAACACUUGUGAAGCGUAAGGGAGAGCCUGCAGACAGGAAGCAGCAGCCUGAGCAGACGCCCAGUGAUCCCUUCGUUGUGCGGGCCGAGUUGAGGUUGGCCUCUUGCUC
rnacentral:lncRNA from 1 species